CAGCUGUAAACGAUGCAGACUAGGUGUUUGGACGGCCACGUGCCGUUCUAGUGCCGCAGGGAAGCUGUUAAGUCUGCCGCCUGGGGAGUACGAUCGCAAGAUUGAAACUUAAAGGAAUUGGCGGGGGGAGCACCACAAGGGGUGAAGCUUGCGGUUUAAUUGGAGUCAACGCCGGAAAUCUCACCGGGAGCGACAGCAGUGUGAUAGCCAGAUUAAAGGUCUUGCUAGACGAGCUGAGAGGUGGUGCAUGGC
rnacentral:rRNA from 1 species